UACAUGUGGGGCAAGCGUUGUUCGGAAUUACUGGGCAUAAAGAGCUCGUAGGCGGUCUGUCGCGUCUGCUGUGAAAACUCAGGGCUUAACCCUGAGCUUGCAGUGGGUACGGGCAGACUAGAGUGCGGUAGGGAGACGUGGAAUUCCUGGUGUGAGCGGUGAAAUGCGCAGAUAUCAGGAGGAACACCGGUGGCGAAGGCGGGUCUCUGGGCCGUAACUGACGCUGGAGGAGCGGAAAGCAUGG
rnacentral:rRNA from 1 species